GUUUAUAUCUUAACGGUGUGCUCUUCCUACAGUGGGAAUUACUUCUGAGUGACUUUAAUGCUCUUUAAGAGCUCCUUUCAUCAGGAGAGUGGCAAAGAGAGCUACGUGGCAAAAGGAAGACCAAACAAAAACCUGGAUCCCCAAAACUGAGGAAGAUUUCCUGUGCAAAUGAACUAUACUCCCAGAUUAAUGCCAGAUGUAAGAACAAUACACUAGAGAAAACUCAUCAUGGUCUUCUGUUAAUCACAGAACAUCUAUUCUGAACUUCACAGGUUUCUUAUUGAAAAAAAGCCUUGCAGGCAGAAUUAAAAUAAAACCUGAAAUAAACAGAAAAUCUUCACUGUUGCUUUCAAGAAGUGAUCAUGAACUAUUACCACAAGAGUAAGGCAGCUGCUACUGCAUGUGAUGACAAACUAGACUCCCUGCUAUGCGGCAAAGUUUUCUGACUAAACUGCCUGGUUUCCUACUAGCCUCAAUGGCCACAGAGAACAAGAAGAAGGAUGAAAGAAAGACCUCUUAUGAGUUAGAAAAAUAUUAACAGUUCCCUAUUUUUUCCCUUUUUCUUUACCAGUUACCUGAGUGAUUGCAAUUUAGAGCUUAUUUUGUGGUAUUCAUUUUUUGUUGUUCCUAAAAUUUGAAUUCAAGUUAUCCAGCUGCGUUGAUUUGAAAAUUGGUGUUUACAUUUUAUUUACUGUAUUAUAUACUAUGACGUGUCUACGACCCUGCAUCAAUAAACCAGUUUCUUUUUCAAGAUAUGAGUGUUGUUUCAAUUAUCCUAUUGAAAUUUUAUAUGUGGCACGCUGUAAUUAUACCUUGCAUGUAUAUUUUGUAAAGUUUCCCAUUGAACUGAGAAACUGUGCAUUGUGUUCACAAAAAAACAGUUUGUUGUGUUCACAGUAUUACGCAUGCUGUGAAAGCUUGUCCCUUGUGCUCAAAAUGUAAAUUGGACAUAGCUAAUUGCAUCUACUGCUGGUGAUCAUGUUCAGUGAGUGCAGAUUUCUGGAGGGAAAUGUGCCUACGCUUCUCCUCAUGCUUAGAUAUAACUGUGAGUCCUCCUUCGGAUAUGCUUUAUUAUUGGCAGGGUUAGACUUCGUUGCCAGCAUUUCUUAUGAGAAACAAAAACAUUUUGUACUCUACUUGUUGAUAUGAGCCUGGAAAUGUUUUUUCUGUGUUGGAUGUAUAAUACUUCUCAUUACAUUUUGUACAAAACCCACUUGCUGAAAUCUUAAGUGAUGAAAUUUUAACAUUUAAAUAAAAGUGGCAUUAUAUUCUUA